rnacentral:rRNA from 1 species
UACAGAGGUCUCAAGCGUUGUUCGGAUUCAUUGGGCGUAAAGGGUGCGUAGGUGGCGGGGUAAGUCAGGUGUGAAAUCUCGAGGCUCAACCUCGAAACUGCACUUGAUACUGCCUUGCUAGAGUACUGGAGAGGAGAUUGGAAUUUACGGUGUAGCAGUGAAAUGCGUAGAUAUCGUAAGGAAGACCAGUGGCGAAGGCGGCUCACUGGGGGUUAUCUGACGCUGAAGGACGAAAGCCAGGGGAGCGAACGGG